UACGUAGGCAGCAAGCGUUGUUCGGAGUUACUGGGCGUAAAGGGUGUGUAGGCGGUUCUUUAAGUUUGGUGUGAAAUCUCCCGGCUCAACCGGGAGGGUGCGCCGAAAACUGAAGGGCUAGAGUGCGGGAGAGGAAAGUGGAAUUCCUGGUGUAGCGGUGAAAUGCGUAGAUAUCAGGAGGAACACCGGUGGUGUAGACGGCUUUCUGGACCGUAACUGACGCUGAGACACGAAAGCGUGGGUAGCAAACAGG
rnacentral:rRNA from 1 species